CUUCUUUAGCUCAAAAUAAAAAAAGAGUCGCUCAUCUUCUCCGCGUGACUCUAAUCGCCGCCGCUAUCUCUUCCGCUGCAGCGACCGAAUCUCUCCCGACGCAUUCAUCGCCCCUCAUUAUCUUGCCCUCCGUUACAGGAAAAAAAGUUAGAUUAAACUGCGCGGCCACCGCCUUCGCGUCUACUAACCUGUCUAUGCUACCAUCCUCCCCACCAUCGCCGGUCUGCCUCUGUUCGGAUUCAAUUCUGGGUGCGGGUAGGACGCGGUUCCGUUGUCGAGCACCCACAUCGUCGAGGAAGACACGCCGUUGCUCUGCUUCGGACCACCUCCCGUACGCCCGCCUAUCCGCGUCGCCUCGCUCCAAUGUGUCUCUGAUCGUGGGAACACAGAACGGGCCGACGGCCGCCGUCGGCGGGAGGAGAGGUGGGGAAUCCGACUCAAUCUCUGAACAGGACUUCCAAAGGGACUCCACCUUUGGGGCUAACACAUCAGCUUAUCAGUCCAACAUCUGUUCAUCCGCUCCACACGCGUUUGACACUCCCAAGGCUAGGCUAUCAGCUCGAUGUGCUUCCACAUGGACUUCAUGGAGAUUCUGUUUCACUUGGACAUAAGCAAUAUUAUUGAUGUGCAAUGGCAUCAUUCCUACCAAGGGGUUGGCAAAAUUGCAAGCAGGCCGCACGCCACCAGCAAUUCGGCAAUUUUUACUUCAUCUACCAACCGGAGAUGUUGGAGUCCAGGAGCCAGACGCCACCGUCGACGACGACACCUACGACACUGGAGGUGCCUACUACUACGUGCAGGCCGCUGACGACGAC